rnacentral:rRNA from 1 species
GGGGAAUUUUGGACAAUGGGGGCAACCCUGAUCCAGCCAUGCCGCGUGAGUGAAGAAGGCCUUCGGGUUGUAAAGCUCUUUUGUUGGGAAAGAAAAGCAGCCGGCCAAUACCCGGUUGUUCUGACGGUACCCAAAGAAUAAGCACCGGCUAACUACGUGCCAGCAGCCGCGGUAAUACGUAGGGUGCGAGCGUUAAUCGGAAUUACUGGGCGUAAAGCGUGCGCAGGCGGUUGAUUAAGACAGGCGUGAAAUCCCCGGGCUUAACCUGGGAACUGCGCUUGUGACUGGUCGGCUAGAGUACGGCAGAGGGGGGUGGAAUUCCACGUGUAGCAGUGAAAUGCGUAGAGAUGUGGAGGAACACCGAUGGCGAAGGCAGCCCCCUGGGCCGAUACUGACGCUCAUGCACGAAAGCGUGGGUAGCAAACA